GACGAACGCUGGCGGCGUGCUUAACACAUGCAAGUCGAACGGAAAGGCCCUGCUUUUGUGGGGUUCUCGAGUGGCGAACGGGUGAGUAACACGUGAGUGACCUGCCCUUGACUUUGGGAUAACUUCAGGAAACUGGGGCUAAUACCGGAUAGGAGCUCCUGCUGCAUGGUGGGGGUUGGAAAGUUUCGGCGGUUGGGGAUGGACUCGCGGCUUAUCAGCUUGUUGGUGGGGUAGUGGCUUACCAAGGCUUUGACGGGUAGCCGGCCUGAGAGGGUGACCGGCCACAUUGGGACUGAGAUACGGCCCAGACUCCUACGGGAGGCAGCAGUGGGGAAUAUUGCACAAUGGGCGGAAGCCUGAUGCAGCAACGCCGCGUGCGGGAUGACGGCCUUCGGGUUGUAAACCGCUUUCGCCUGUGACGAAGCGUGAGUGACGGUAAUGGGUAAAGAAGCACCGGCUAACUACGUG
rnacentral:rRNA from 1 species